rnacentral:misc_RNA from 1 species
GCCCUUCGAUAAUUAAUUUUAAUUUCAUCCUUCAUUUAAUCAUCUAAUCUUUUAACGCACCUUGCGCUCCUUGGUAUUCCUUGGAGCAUGCCUGUUUGAGUAUCAUGAAAUCUUCAAAGUAAAUCUUUUGUUAACUCAAUUGGUUUCUACUUUGGUAUUGGAGGUCUUUGCAGCUUCACACCUGCUCCUCUUUGUUCAUUAGCUGGAUCUCAGUGUUAUGCUUGGUUCCACUCGGCGUGAUAAGUUAUCUAUCGCUGAGGACACUGUAAAAGGUGGCCAAGGUAAAUGCAGAUGAACCGCUUCUAAUAGUCCAUUGACUUGGACAAUACUUUUAUGAUCUGAUCUCAAAUCAGGUAGGACUACCCGCUGAACUUAAGC